GCAAAAGUGACGUUUACAAUUUGGUGGUCUGGAUUGGGAAUAUCUAUUCAACGAAUGGGUGGGUGAAAAAUUUCCUCUGAUUACCCUUUCUUUCUCACAUCUAAAGCUUUUGUUAGAUGCAUAAUGCUUCACUUCUUUGUUCUUCGAAUCCAAUAUCUAACCACCAGCCUACCUUCAAACAUGUUGUCCACUCACAACUCCCAUCAGAACUCGUUUCUCUCCUUCUCUCUUUGUUUUCUCUUCUCUCCGCUUCUUAUUGAAUCGUCUCCACGGUCAGCGCCAUGGCUUUUCUCCUUUGCACAGCAUUGUGUAUAUUGACAUCAACAUGGCUACUUCAGCUACUAAAGAAAUGAUUGAAGCUAGCAAGAACCUCUGCAGUUUUGUUGAAAUUGGGUACAUAUCUAGUGUUCAUGGGCUACAAGGAGAAAUUUGUAUAAAACCCAACACUGAUUUUCCUGAACUGCGCUUUUGCAAGAUGGUUAAAGCAACAAGUUUUAAGUAAAGAAACAAUUAAAGAAGUAGAGCUUGUUGAAGGAAGGGAACAUCCUGGAAAGAAGAGUUGGAUACUCAGCUUCAGUGGGAUUGAAACAGUGGAUCAAGUGAGAUGAUUAGACAAAUUCUUAUUUUUUAGGCCAGGCAACUUGUAGGUUCAACUUUAUUGGCAGAGGAAGAAGAUAGACCACAUUUGGAAAAAGGUGAAUUCUAUACUCGUGAUCUUGUUGGAAUGAGAGCCAUUCUCAAGGUAAUGUACUUAUUUGCUCAUCAGCCCUUAAUAUUCCAUAUACAGGUGUAGCUGAGUUGAGCUGAGCCUGAAUACUAGCAAGCUUGACUCAAAAUUCAAAGCUCAAUACUUAGCUUGAGCUUGAUUAAGCUAGUUUAUCAAUUUUAGUAUUCAAGGUCUAACUCGAGCUUGAUUAUGCUCUUGUGUAUUUGAGUGUGAGCUUGAGCUCGGUUCGAUAAGUAAGCUUAGGGUUAAUAACAUGUAGUAAAGGCAAUAGCAUGAUUUAAGAAUAUGAAAAUAUUUAAAAUAUUUAUUAAAACUAAAAAGCUUGGUAAGACUCGCAAGUCGUUUGAGUUGCUUGAGCUUGAACUGGGUUCGAUAAUUACUAAAUCGAGUUCGAGUUUUUUCGAGUUGAACUCGAGUAGCUUGUGAGUAUCAAUGUCUCAUUUACACCCCUAAUUCCAUCUACCAAUCUGACAAGUACUGUAAAAGCAUAAUCUUUUUGUUAUUUAUGUAUUUAUUUUUCUUUUACUUCUUUCAUUUACAUAUGAAUAGUUCUUUCAGUCCUAUAUUUAGGGCCAGACAUUAAGUUUUCAGAUGAAUUCGAAGAACAUCCAAACAUAUCUCCAGACUUUCUUUACCUGCUUGCUUAAAGUUUUUUCCCCCUCCAGAUUCUCAAGCACAAAGUAUCUUAACUUGAAGCAAGCCAUGGAGAGCUACGACAAGAGCUUCAAGAAUGUAGGCUCACUAGUGAACAAUUAGCACGACGUGCACUUGAUGCUCAUGUGUUCUUUCCCUUUUGUUUUCGUCUUUAGUUGGUUAUCUUCUAUCAAGAGACUAUUAUUGUUUGAAGUUGGGGUUUGAACAUGGAAAUGGGCAGGUUUGUUUUGGUUAUGAACAAAUGGCUGCAUAAUUGGAGAUGCACUUUCAAAAUCUGGUUCUAAUUGAUCUGCAGUAUACAUUUCAUGUCUUCUUUUUGCAAUGGCAUUUUAAGGAUGCCUUUUUUUUCUUAUUCCUAGAAUACUUAUAAGUUAUGACUCUUUUCGUGUACCAGAAUACUAUGAGAAAUAUGUCAAGCCUGAAGAUGUUGUAGGAGCAGAAGAAGUGAAGUCAAGUGACAAAAAACUAAGUGAAGAUGAAUAUGCUGCCUCGGAGGAUGAGGAAACCGCCGGAAAAAUAGAUCUUUAGGCACAUAUUAUGCCCUGCAUACUCGCUACAAAAAUUGUCUUGUGUUGUACAUGAUUUUCAGCUCUAAGAAAAUUCGAACACGACAGAACCGGGGAACAUGUGGAAAAAUUCCUACUUACCUAAUUUUUUCACUACUUUCCAUGGAUGUUUGUGUAAAUUAAUCCAUUUUUGUUCAAUAAUUUAAAUAUUUAUCCA